GACAAUCAAAUUAUGAUGCAAGGCCAUCUACUCGGAAUGAGUACUUCCGCUCUCAGAUCAGUAGCAGAGCCAGCAUAGAUCCAAAAAACACGAAAUAUUGAAUGAAAUAUGAAUAAAAACCUAAAUCUAACAAAAUAAUUGAAAGAUAAAAGAAAAGAUGAUGAAAAAUCCAAAAGCACAAAAUAUUGAAUGAAAUAAGAAUAAAAGCUAGAUCUAACAAGAAAACUGAAAAAUGAAAGAAAAUAUGAUGAAAAAUAUCUGAUCAAGCCAGUUGGCCCAACAAACCCUAUGCUUCGUGCCUCGCUCGUAUCAGGACCGGCUGAGUUUAUGACGCAUGUCCUCUUUGUCUCUCUUCAGAUUUUGACCGGCCCUUGGCUUAGUUGGAUGGUUUUUUUAACCUAAUGGCUGCCAGUUUAAUGGCCUAAAGCUAAGGCUUUCUUAAAUCUGAGGUUUGCUCACAUGGUGGGCUCUCUCUAU
rnacentral:lncRNA from 1 species